GACGAACGCUGGCGGCGUGCCUAAUACAUGCAAGUUGAGCGCUGAAGGUUGGUCCUUGUACCAACUGGUUGAGCAGCGAACGGGUGAGUAACGCGUGGGGAAUCUGCCUUUGAGCGGGGGACAACAUUUGGAAACGAAUGCUAAUACCGCAUAAAAACUUUAAACACAAGUUUUAAGUUUGAAAGAUGCAAUUGCAUCACUCAAAGAUGAUCCCGCGUUGUAUUAGCUAGUUGGUGAGGUAAAGGCUCACCAAGGCGAUGAUACAUAGCCGACCUGAGAGGGUGAUCGGCCACAUUGGGACUGAGACACGGCCCAAACUCCUACGGGAGGCAGCAGUAGGGAAUCUUCGGCAAUGGACGAAAGUCUGACCGAGCAACGCCGCGUGAGUGAAGAAGGUUUUCGGAUCGUAAAACUCUGUUGGUAGAGAAGAACGUUGGUGAGAGUGGAAAGCUCAUCAAGUGACGGUAACUACCCAGAAAGGGACGGCUAACUACGUG
rnacentral:rRNA from 1 species